rnacentral:misc_RNA from 1 species
UAACAGCUGUAAAGUCAGCUGUUGCAAAUAUAAAGCACGUGGCAUCGGUGAUUCUCCUUUUGUUGUGAGUGACUACUUAUAUUCAUAUAUUUUCAACUACAAGACGUAAACAAAUCAUUGAAAGUAUUGAAUUUAACUUCAAAAUAAAGAGCUCACUUUCGUAAUUUUCCGAAUUGAGUUAUCGACUUUGGAGAAGGACUGACACCUUGAGCACCAUG